UGGCUCUCGCAUCGAUGAAGAACGCAGCGAAAUGCGAUAAGUAAUGUGAAUUGCAGAAUUCAGUGAAUCAUCGAAUCUUUGAACGCACCUUGCGCCCUGUGGUAUUCCGCAGGGCAUGCCUGUUUGAGUGUCACGUAAACCCUCACCCAUGUGAUGUUAUCAUUGCUUGUGGUGGACUUGGAUGCUGCCGUAGUUGGCUCAUCUUGAAAUGCAUUAGCUGUGCAUCCAUUAGCGUGCGCAAGGGUCAUUGUAAUAAUUAUUUCAAUGUGCUCAUGCCGCUUCCAGUGGUGCUGCUUCCAAUGGUCCCUCAUGGGACAACCAAAACUAUAAAGCUUUGGCCUCAAAUCAGGUAGGACUACCCGCUGA
rnacentral:misc_RNA from 1 species